UACGUAGGGGGCAAGCGUUGUCCGGAUUUAUUGGGCGUAAAGAGCGUGUAGGCGGCCGCACAGGUCCGUUGUGAAAACUGGAGGCUUAACCUUCAGACGUCGAUGGAAACCGUGCGGCUAGAGUCCGGAAGAGGAGAAUGGAAUUCCUGGUGUAGCGGUGGAAAUGACGCAGAUAUCAGGAAGAACACCCGUGGCUAAGGCGGUUCUCUAGUACGGUACUGACGCUGAGACGCGAAAGCGUGGGGGAGCGAAACAGG
rnacentral:rRNA from 1 species